rnacentral:rRNA from 6 species
UCCCACCUGACCCCAUGCCGAACUCAGAAGUGAAACGCCGUAGCGCCGAUGGUAGUGUGGGGUCUCCCCAUGCGAGAGUAGGGAACUGCCAGAC